rnacentral:misc_RNA from 1 species
GGAAGUAAAAGUCGUAACAGGGUCUCCGUUGGUGAACCAGCGGAGGGAUCAUUACAGAGUUGCAAAACUCCCAAACCAUUGUGAACGUUACCUAUCCCGUUGCUUCGGCGGGCGGCCCGGGCCCCGCGCCCGGCGCCCCCCGGCCCCCCGUGGGCGCCCGCCGGAGGUAAACCAAACCCUUGAAUUGCAUGGCCUCUCUGAGUCUUCUGUACUGAAUAAGUCAAAACUUUCAACAACGGAUCUCUUGGUUCUG